AUGGAAGAUGGAGAAGAAGGAGUUACAGGUACAUAUGUCAAUGCAUACAUUUCUCUAUAUAAUUCAACUCAUCUACUCUCCUCUUGUUUACACACACUUUCCACUUUGACUGUACUCAAAUCACGCUUGCUCCCUCUCCUCAACUACCUCCUUUUCUCUCACUCUCUCCCUCUCUCCCUCCCCCUCUCUCUCUCUCCUCAAUCCCUUCCCUUGAUCAUUGAAGGGGUAGUUGUGGUGGCUUAA